rnacentral:rRNA from 1 species
GACGAACGCUGGCGGCGUGCCUAAUACAUGCAAGUAGAACGCUGAAGGAGGAGCUUGCUCUUCUGGAUGAGUUGCGAACGGGUGAGUAACGCGUAGGUAACCUGCCUGGUAGCGGGGGAUAACUAUUGGAAACGAUAGCUAAUACCGCAUAAGAGUAGAUGUUGCAUGACAUUUGCUUAAAAGGUGCAAUUGCAUCACUACCAGAUGGACCUGCGUUGUAUUAGCUAGUUGGUGGGGUAACGGCUCACCAAGGCGACGAUACAUAGCCGACCUGAGAGGGUGAUCGGCCACACUGGGACUGAGACACGGCCCAGACUCCUACGGGAGGCAGCAGUAGGGAAUCUUCGGCAAUGGACGGAAGUCUGACCGAGCAACGCCGCGUGAGUGAAGAAGGUUUUCGGAUCGUAAAGCUCUGUUGUAAGAGAAGAACGAGUGUGAGAGUGGAAAGUUCACACUGUGACGGUAUCUUACCAGAAAGGGACGGCUAACUACGUGC